UGGGGAAUAUUGGGCAAUGGGGGAAACCCUGACCCAGCAACGCCGCGUGAGGGAAGAAGGUUUUCGGAUUGUAAACCUCUGUCCUAAGAGAAGAGGGGAAGACGGUAUCUUAGGAGGAAGCCCCGGCUAACUACGUGCCAGCAGCCGCGGUAAUACGUAGGGGGCGAGCGUUGUCCGGAAUGAUUGGGCGUAAAGGGCGUGUAGGCGGCUUUAUAAGUCUGGAGUGAAAGUCCUGUUUUCAAGAUGGGAAUUGCUUUGGAUACUGUAGGGCUUGAGUGCAGGAGAGGUUAUCGGAAUUCCCGGUGUAGCGGUGAAAUGCGUAGAGAUCGGGAGGAACACCAGUGGCGAAGGCGGGUAACUGGACUGCAACUGACGCUGAGGCGCGAAAGUGUGGGGAGCAAACAGGAUUAGAUACCCUGGUAGUCCACACUGUAAACGAUGAAUGCUAGGUGUAGGGGGUAUCGACCCCUUCUGUGCCGGAGUAAACACAAUAAGCAUUCCGCCUGGGGAGUACGGCCGCAAGGUUGAAACUCAAAGGAAUUGACGGGGGCCCGCACAAGCAGCGGAGCAUGUGGUUUAAUUCGACGCAACGCGAAGAACCUUACCAGGUCUUGACAUCCACUUAAAGCCAUAGAGAUAUGGUGUGAGCUUGCUCGAAGUGAGACAGGUGGUGCAUGGUUGUCGUCAGCUCGUGUCGUGAGAUGUUGGGUUAAGUCCCGCAACGAGCGCAACCCUUGCUGAUAGUUACUAACGUGUAAAGACGAGGACUCUAUCAGGACUGCCGGGGACAACUCGGAGGAAGGUGGGGACGACGUCAAAUCAUCAUGCCCCUUAUGACCUGGGCUACACACGUGCUACAAUGGCCGUUACAAAGAGAAGCGAGGCUGCAAAGCGGAGCAGAUCUCAAAAAAGCGGUCUCAGUUCGGAUUGUGGGCUGCAACCCGCCUGCAUGAAGUCGGAGUUGCUAGUAAUCGCGGAUCAGCAUGCCGCGGUGAAUACGUUCCC
rnacentral:rRNA from 1 species